UUCUCCUCCCACAUCUGGAGCAGAACCAGAACCAAUGGCGGCGCCCAAAAUGGCUGUGGCUGCAUGGGCUCUCGACAACUUGCCAGUAUUUGAGCAAAAUACGCCGCCUAAAACGCUACAAACUUUGCAUCCACUCAGUAAGUUAGUAUAUGAUCGCCAGCGUCUGCUGGAAUUACGAUCAUCAAGUGAUUUCGGACUCAUAAAUACGACUACUCUGGAGUGUUUACGUGAUCUCGGAGUGCUACGGAGGCAAGACCCAGCGGCCCACGGCGCAGCGGACUCGCCUAGCAGCACUAGCCGGAGGAGGAGAAAGCGAAGGCGGUGCGACCGGCAGCGGAAGCGCGGCUGUCGAAGUGGACUAACAGCUAAGCUAAACGCUAACCCCCACAGAUCGCCGCUUCCGUCCAUCUUCCUCUCCAA